rnacentral:rRNA from 1 species
GACGUAGGGCGCGAGCGUUGUCCGGAUUUAUUGGGCGUAAAGAGCUCGUAGGCGGCUUGUUGCGUCGACCGUGAAAACCCGCGGCUUAACUGCGGGCUUGCGGUCGAUACGGGCGGGCUGGAGUUCGGUAGGGGAGACUGGAAUUCCUGGUGUAGCGGUGAAAUGCGCAGAUAUCAGGAGGAACACCGGUGGCGAAGGCGGGUCUCUGGGCCGAUACUGACGCUGAGAAGCGAAAGCAUGGGGAGCGAACAGG